rnacentral:rRNA from 1 species
UACGAAGGGGGCUAGCGUUGUUCGGAAUUACUGGGCGUAAAGCGCGCGCAGGCGGCUAUCCAAGUCAGUGGUGAAAGCCCGGAGCUCAACUCCGGAACUGCCAUUGAAACUGUUUAGCUUGAGGAUGAGAGAGGUGAGUGGAAUUCCACGUGUAGCAGUGAAAUGCGUAGAGAUGUGGAGGAACACCGAUGGCGAAGGCAGCCCCCUGGGCUAACACUGACGCUCAUGCACGAAAGCGUGGGGAGCAAACAGG